GAUGAACGCUGGCGGCGUGCUUAACACAUGCAAGUCGAACGGUGAAGGCGGAGCUUGCUCUGCUGGAUCAGUGGCGAACGGGUGAGUAACACGUGAGCAAUCUGCCCCUGACUCUGGGAUAAGCGCUGGAAACGGCGUCUAAUACUGGAUACGAGCUGCGAAGGCAUCUUCAGCAGCUGGAAAGAAUUUCGGUCAGGGAUGAGCUCGCGGCCUAUCAGCUUGUUGGUGAGGUAAUGGCUCACCAAGGCGUCGACGGGUAGCCGGCCUGAGAGGGUGACCGGCCACACUGGGACUGAGACACGGCCCAGACUCCUACGGGAGGCAGCAGUGGGGAAUAUUGCACAAUGGGCGAAAGCCUGAUGCAGCAACGCCGCGUGAGGGACGACGGCCUUCGGGUUGUAAACCUCUUUUAGCAGGGAAGUAGCGAAAGUGACGGUACCUGCAGAAAAAGCGCCGGCUAACUACGUG
rnacentral:rRNA from 1 species